AAAGAAGAGGCGCGAAUUAUAAGAGUCGCUUUCAGGAGAACGAUCAGGUUCUGUGAAUGAAAGUUAAAGGGUAACUCGCCGAAGCUCAACGUGACUGAUAGCACGCGGAGCUGGGACCAGUCUUAAGAGGGCUGGGACUGUCGCAGUGAUGUGCUGCGGAGAGCUUCCU
rnacentral:ncRNA from 1 species